AAUUUUCUUUGGAUUGAUGAUUUAUUUCAGUAUUGGAAGCUUAGGGUCCGGAAAAUCCGAGGAAUUUGUUUUAGGAAUACGAGUGAAUAGAGCCAAGAUUUUUGGAACUAAAAAUGGAGUUAGAAUCAAGACAUGACAGCCCUCGAAGAAAUCCGCAAUCCAAAUCAAGAACGUGUUGUACCAGAACAUAACGGGCAAGAUGGGCUCAUAAAGCUCUUUGGCAUGCUUCCUUGUGGCACAUGCAUGAGGUAUGCUUCCAAUUCUUCAAUUUUUCAUUUUUUAUGCCAUUGUUGAUUUUUUUUAGCAAUAUCUUUCUUAUUUAUUUCAAACAUGCUAUUAUAGUAAUCUAUAGUAUUUAUUUUACACUCUCGAGGCCCACUAGCUUGAGCCUAGCCAUUAGAACCGAUGUAGAAAACUCGCAUUCUACAUCGGUUAUAACUACACAAUCGAUGUAGAACAGUCGCCCUUCAAAGACGGUCCUUCAACCAAUGUUGUUAUUCAACGAUAUUAUGUUAUCACUACGCGUCAUAACCGAUGUAGAAAGGUCAUUAGAACCGAUGUAAAAGAUCUUUUUUUUAGUAGUGAUGAGAUAUUAUACAUUUAUCUUUUCACUAGUACAUAACAUGUACUAUAAAAUAACUAAGGAUAUCUGGGUAAAAAAAUUAAUGCAAAAGACAACUUAAAAAGACUUUUAUAAAAAAAG